rnacentral:rRNA from 1 species
GAGUUUGAUCCUGGCUCAGAACGAACGCUGGCGGCAGGCCUAACACAUGCAAGUCGAGGGAGAAACCAUCUUCGGAUGGCGGAGACCGGCAGACGGGUGAGUAACACGUGGGAACAUACCAAGUACUGGGGGAUAACAGUUGGAAACGACUGCUAAUACCGCAUACGCCCUCCGGGGGAAAGAUUUAUCGGUAUUUGAUUGGCCCGCGUUAGAUUAGCUAGUUGGUAAGGUAACGGCUUACCAAGGCGACGAUCUAUAGCUGGUUUGAGAGGAUGAUCAGCCACACUGGGACUGAGACACGGCCCAGACUCCUACGGGAGGCAGCAGUGGGGAAUAUUGCGCAAUGGAGGAAACUCUGACGCAGCCAUGCCGCGUGAGUGAAGACGGCCCUAGGGUUGUAAAGCUCUUUCAGACGUGAUGAUGAUGACAGUAGCGUCAAAAGAAGUUCCGGCUAACUUCGUGCCAGCAGCCGCGGUAAUACGAAGGGAACUAGCGUUGUUCGGAUUUACUAGGCGUAAAGAGCAUGUAGGCGGAUUGGUUAGUUGGAUGUGAAAUCCCGGAGCUCAACUCCGGAACUGCAUUCAAUACUGCCAGUCUAGAAUCUGUAAGGGGGUGGUGGAAUUCCG